rnacentral:lncRNA from 1 species
ACGAGCGAUGCUUAUGGAACCUUAGGUAAAGUUGCUUCUCCAAGUGCAGAAGUUUGAGGCUGGUACAACCUACAUUGUGCAAUCUCAGAUGCUCCAUCAUUAUGAAGCCUUGCCAUGACUCCUUCAAUCUUUGCAGUUCUUUGUGAUAACGUAGCAAGGGCAUUCAUGAUAGCAUCCAACUUGGACUCUGAACUUUCCGUCAUACUAAUG